rnacentral:rRNA from 1 species
UACGUAGGAGGCGAGCGUUGUCCGGAAUCACUGGGCGUAAAGCGCGUGUAGGCGGGAAGGCAAGUCUGCUGUGAAAAGCGCCUGGCUUAACCGGGGCGAGGUCGGCGGAAACUGCUUACCUGGAGGGCGGUAGAGGGGGGGUGGAAUUCCCGGUGCAGUGGUGAAAUGCGUAGAGAUCGGGAGGAACACCUGUGGCGAAGGCGGCCCCCCUGGGGCCCGCACCUGACGCUGAGACGCGAAGGCGUGGGGGAGCGAACGGG